ensembl:lncRNA
AGCGUGCCAGAGGUUCGGGUGCACCAGAAGUGAGCGAUGUAACUCACGCCCAUCCGCUGACUGCUGCUCGGGAGGCCCCACCUGGCUCUAGGCCUUGGGGAGGAAGCCGAGCCUGCCGAGGAAUGGGCGCUGGUCCGGUGGGAGUCCGAGAGCAGCCACGCGUGGCUCUGGACAGCGACGCCCGGGUCCCAGGUGCAGUCCCCUCCUUUCCUAUCUAGGUCCACGCUCUGGAUAGAGGGCUGGGGGCGUCAGGAGGGGAGCGACAGCCUCUGGCCCUACUUGGCGUGGGUCUGCCGCUGAAGGUCAGGGGUCCGGGUGGGCCCUUGUUGUCCGGCCGCAAGGCGAAGACAGCCGGGCGGCCAGUUUCCUCCUGGCGAGGCGGCGCCUUCAGGUUGACCGCUGUCCCUCUGGCGCGGGGCCGGGCGCUAACGAGCCUCCUAGCCAAUCCAGAGCGCAUUCUUCCCCGGGCUGUCUCCAUGACGACCACCUCAGCUUCUGCUCUGGACUGGAGUUCAGCCCGCUGAAAAGUUCGCGGGUCCAGUGGAGGCCCGGGGCACCGGGGCCGGGCCAGAGGGACCGGCAGUGGCCUCCAGGUGCCUGAGUAGUGCCCCAAAGCCUCGUCACACCCCGCGCCCGUUGGGCAAAAGGCCGCUCCUCCUCUUGGGGAGCAGAUGAUGCGGGACUCAGCAGGAUCUUAUCUCAGCCAGGGCAGAGGGGAAGAGGCCCAUCAUUAACGCCGAAUGCCUUCCAUGUUGCCUGCUUCAUCUUUAACAUCCACGUUGAUUUGGCCUUCGCCUCACAACGUGGAUUUGACCUUCAACUCCUCACCCUGCCUGCUGUGGGUUCAACUUUCUGGCUGGGGCCUCCCCCAUAACACAAGAAUAUCCAAGUUCCAGUCACUUAAAAUGUUCAUAAAAACGUUCCACCCAAUGGUUUCCACGAAAACCGUUGAGAGGAGAUGGGACCCGGGGAAAGUACCUCGCUCAGAUCCGACACUGUUAAGCCAAGAGGACCAGUGAUUCCUGGAGCAAAAGGGAACUCGGGUCCCCUGACUUCCGUGCACUCUCGAGCCAGGAGGACAGGACUGGGGCGCUGAAUGGGGGCUGCGUAGCUUCAGCCCUCUGCUCCAGGUCUCAGGCCGAGCUGUGAGUCGGACGCCGGGGAAGCGAGUCUCAGCGCCCGGUCCUCUUCCUCAAUGCUAUGCCUGGCUCAACCAGUGAAGGUGUGACCUGCGCAGAGGUGAGAACACAUGAAGGCAAAAGUCAGCUGGGUGCUUCGUCCCUGCCUAGGCCUUUUGCUGGAGCUUACGGCCACAGACUCGCCAGCACACACGAUUCCGCACGCGGGGUGUUCUCCGCCCCUCCCCGCCGCCAUCUAGGGAUAACGCAGCCUGGGGAUCCGCUGUUACCAUGGCGACCCGCCGGCUGAUUUAGCCUCUGUUGCCCCCUAGCGGUCAUCUAGGGCAUCUGCAGCUCCAUUAUUUCCCUUGGGCGGCAUGUUCUGCAGCCAGAUCUGUGCCAUCAACCUUGCUAAACAUUAUCCCUAGCUUUGGCUUUAGUGGGCCGGCUCCCUGCCUCGCCUUUCCAACCUUUCCGGCUUCUCUGCACUGGGGCCUGGCUUCUCUGGCUUUGUCACCCAGGCCCAAUAGCCCUAACUACCUACGUCUUCUAGCCAGGGUCCUGGAGACUUAAGAAGGGCUCUCACCCAUGGCUCUUCCAGAGUCCCUCUAGGGAGUGCAAAAGU